UCUACUAGCAGAAGCUCCACCUACCCUGCAGUUGGCAAUGUUCUCACCGAGUCGGCCCAAGGUGAGCGAGGCGGAGUACUUAGAGGCCCAGAGACAGAGACUGGCUGAGGUGCAGCGGAACAGGCAGAUAUUGGAGGAAGAUAUUUAUAGAAGAAAUAUCUGUGUGGAGUUCAAAGGACACAUACAAUACAACAACAACAACUGCAGAAAUGGGAGGAAAAGAGACAAAGAGAACAGAAAGCCCUGGAUCACUUGAAUCAAGAUGUGUACAAUAGCUAUAAUGGUAACUUAGGAAGAGAGAGAUCAAGCCCAGAUGUAGGCAUAGAUGUGAGAUCUGGUGGUAGUCCACGCCCACGUGUCCUUGAAGAUGUCAUCAGCAGUCGCAACAAGGAGCAUGCGCGGAAGAGGGAGGAGUACACACUACA